rnacentral:rRNA from 1 species
GGCCAGACUCCUACGGGAGGCAGCAGUGAGGAAUAUUGGUCAAUGGGCUAAGGCCUGAACCAGCCAAGUCGCGUGAGGGAAGACGGUCCUAUGGAUUGUAAACCUCUUUUGUCGGGGAGCAACGAGGCCACGUGUGGCCGAAGUGAGAGUACCCGAAGAAAAAGCAUCGGCUAACUCCGUGCCAGCAGCCGCGGUAAUACGGAGGAUGCGAGCGUUAUCCGGAUUUAUUGGGUUUAAAGGGUGCGUAGGCGGGCUUUUAAGUCAGCGGUAAAAAUUCGGGGCUCAACCCCGUCCGGCCGUUGAAACUGGGGGCCUUGAGUGGGCGAGAAGAAGGCGGAAUGCGUGGUGUAGCGGUGAAAUGCAUAGAUAUCACGCAGAACUCCGAUUGCGAAGGCAGCGCACCGGCGCCCUACUGACGCUCGGGCACGAAAGCGUGGGUAUCGAACAGGAUUAGAUACCCUGGUAAC